rnacentral:rRNA from 1 species
AAUAGCCUAACGGCUGAACCAGCAACUUGGAGGAAUGUAUAGCAAUUGCUAAUUGUAUCAGUCGCAAUAUCGACUUGGUCGGAUAAAAUUCUGGGUAAAAUUAUGAUAAUGACAUUAUUUACUUAUGUGUCUUGACCAAAUUACGUGCCAGCAGUCGCGGUAAUACGUAGAAGACUAGUGUUAUUCAUCUUUAAUAGGUUUAAAGGGUACCUAGACGGUAAAUGAAGCCCUCCGGAACUGAUUUACUAGAGUUACUUAUGAGGGAGUUUAAAUGUACAAGAGGUGAAGAGAUGAAAUUCUGUCAUACCUUUUUUCUAUGAAAAAUAUCGGCACAGUCAUAGGGAAAACAUCUUCUUAUGGGAUAGCUUUUUAUCGCCAACAGGAUUAGAUACCCUGGUAGUCAAAGCAGAAAAUGAUGAGUGUCAUAGAUUAAUUUACUCUAUAAAUGAAAGUGUAAGCACUCCACCUCAAGAGUAAUUUGGCAACAUUGGAACUGAAAUCAUUAGACCGUUUCUGAAACCAGUAGUGAAGUAUGUUAUUUAAUUUGAUGAUCCGCAAAAAACCUUACCAUGAAUAUUUACAAGCGUUGCACGGCUGUCUUCAGUUAAUGUCGUGAGACUAUGGUUAGUUCCAUUAAAUUAACGUAAACCCUUACUUUAUUUUUAAAUAGAGUGGUUCUCCACUAUAUUGGAUAAGAUAACAGGGACUAAGACAAGUCAUCAUGGCCUGAAUGUUGUGAGCCUUUACAAAAGGAUGUGAAAUUGUGAAAUUGAGCUAAUCCCCUAAAAUUGGCUACAGAACCGCAUG